AUGUUUCCUGGUAAUUCCCACUUGAAUCUGUGGCUCAGGACUGGAAAAGUGACAGCCAUGGAAGCCAGUAAAAUUUUAAAGAUGAAGCCUUGUGGGAAGUUGGCUGCCUCAGGAACCCCAGGCAACGCUGAGAUGUCCUUCCAAAUAGGGACCCAAACAGCUGAAGGGCUCCAGUUACCCAAGAGGUGAGUGAUGUGGAUACUUUGCCAGUUGGAGGAAGGGAAGGAGUGGAGUGAGGGAGGGAGUGGAGAGUAGGACAGAGGUGAAAGGAAGGACGAGGUAGUGGAGAGUGAAGCUGGACGCCAUGAGCCACAGCCACAAGCAGCCUGGGAAAAGGAGCAGGGCAUCUUGUCCCCAACCACACUUCUUGGUGUACUUCAGGGGGCAGAGGUAGUACCCCACCUUGACCCUCAAGUGUAAUCAGUGAUUUGCCAACCAAAUCACACCCUGCCUCAAGUGGAAACCAUUCCAGGUGACUCCUCUAAGGUCAUUAAUGUCUUCUCAUGGCAAGUGACCAUGGCAAACAAAGCUAGCCACCUGUGAGCUGGCAGGUGAAGUUCAUCUUGAACCUUUGAUUCAGGAUUUAAAUGUGUAUUAGGUUUUUUUUUUUUUCAGAGAGCAUAUUAAAAUGCACACUCAUUUAAAUGCUUUUAUUUUACCUUGUUUUUGCUCAUUGGCAGGUGUUAUAUUUUUCUGAAAUAAGUAUGGGUCGUUAGCAAGGAUAAAAGUAAAUCAUUUUCAAUUGUAAAAAUCAAAUUGGUUUGAAAAAAGUCACAAAACAAUUUUUUUGAAAACUUUACAGAGAAUGGGGUAAAUACAUAUCAAAUUGUUGGCCUUGUUUAUCUUGUGAGAUGGAGGUGGAAUUGGAACCAGAGAUAGGGGCUUGUCAACUUUUUAACGGUCUCAAUAUUGCUCAGAUCAUUAAAAUGAGUAUAUAUUACUUUUGUGGGUUUUUUUUAAAAGGAAAUUCAAGAAAGAAAGAUUUUGCCAUGUGUUUUUCAAAAGCAAAUCUGUCUCAUUAAGUGAAACUUUUAAUUCACUCUCUAAAAUUGUAUAAAAUGUUGUGAAUUAAAUGUUAUUUUCUUAACUCUUUAGCAGAUCCUUUCUGCCAAUUUUACAUGUGUCAGCCCACCUGGCAAAAGUGGAGUUUUGCAUUUGUCUCUCAAUAUGGACCAUACAGGCCUUUCUG
rnacentral:lncRNA from 12 species